AUUGAACGCUGGCGGCAUGCCUUACACAUGCAAGUCGAACGCGAAAGGGGGCAACCCUGAGUAGAGUGGCGCACGGGUGAGCAAUACAUCGGAACAUACCCAGUAGUGGGGGACAACCAGUCGAAAGACUGGCUAAUACCGCAUACGACCUACGGGUGAAAGCGGGGGACCGUAAGGCCUCGCGCUAUUGGAUUGGCCGAUGUCUGAUUAGCUAGUUGGUGAGGUAACGGCUCACCAAGGCGACGAUCAGUAGCUGGUCUGAGAGGACGAUCAGCCACACUGGGACUGAGACACGGCCCAGACUCCUACGGGAGGCAGCAGUGGGGAAUUUUGGACAAUGGGGGCAACCCUGAUCCAGCAAUGCCGCGUGAGUGAAGAAGGCCUUCGGGUUGUAAAGCUCUUUCGGCCGGGACGAAAUCGCUCUGGUGAAUAUCCAGGGUGGAUGACGGUACCGGAAUAAGAAGCACCGGCUAACUACGUGCCAGCCGCCGCGGUAA
rnacentral:rRNA from 1 species